rnacentral:lncRNA from 1 species
UCUGAGUUACUUUCUUUCUUCAUCCAUUAGCAUUCUGUUCCAAUAUUUUCAGUCUCAAUGGGGUUCUGUCUCCCUCACAUCCUUGCUUUUCUAACUCUCACACUGGAGGCAUGCCAUGCUGCUCUACCACCUCAACUUUAAUGGAACUCUGUCUUGCCAAACUCAAAAAUGCCAAAAGCUAUCAGUGAACUUCUCUAGCCUGCAGAUUUCACAGAGGAUAAGAGCACCUAUGUUGUAGUAGGAAAGGGUGGUGUCAACGUUGAUGCAGG